UUGAUCUCAAAUCAGGUAGGACUACCCGCUGAACUUAAGCAUAUCAAUAAGCGGAGGAAAAGAAACUAACAAGGAUUCCCCUAGUAACUGCGAGUGAAGCGGGAAGAGCUCAAAUUUAAAAUCUGGCGUGCCUCUGGUCGUCCGAGUUGUAGUCUGGAGAAGCGUUUUCCGUGUUGGACCGUGUACAAGUCUCUUGGAACAGGGCGUCAUAGAGGGUGAGAAUCCCGUCUUUGACACGGACUACCAAUGCUUUGUGAUGCGCUCUCAAAGAGUCGAGUUGUUUGGGAAUGCAGCUCAAAAUGGGUGGUAAAUUCCAUCUAAAGCUAAAUAUAGGCGAGAGACCGAUAGCGAACAAGUACCGUGAGGGAAAGAUGAAAAG
rnacentral:rRNA from 1 species